rnacentral:rRNA from 1 species
UACGGGGGGGGCAAGCGUUGUUCGGAAUUACUGGGCGUAAAGGGCGCGUAGGCGGUUUGCUAAGUUGAAUGUGAAAACUCUGGGCUUAACCCAGAGCCUGCAUUCAAUACUGGCAGGCUGGAGUUCUGGAGGGGAUAGCGGAAUUCCUGGUGUAGCGGUGAAAUGCGUAGAUAUCAGGAGGAACACCGGUGGCGAAGGCGGCUAUCUGGACAGAAACUGACGCUGAGGCGCGAAAGCUAGGGGAGCGAACAGG